AACGAACGCUGGCGGCGUGGAUAAGACAUGCAAGUCGAACGGGAUUUCCUUUGGUAGCAAUACCGAGGGAAAUUUAGUGGCGAACGGGUGCGUAACACGUGGGGAAUCUGCCGAGAAGUGGGGGAUAGCUCGUCGAAAGGCGAAUUAAUACCGCAUGUGAUCAGGAAAGACAUCUUUCCAACAUUAAAGCCGGGGUUAAACCUGGCGCUUCUUGAUGAGCCCGCGGCCUAUCAGCUAGNGGUGAGGUAACGGCUCACCAAGGCUUUGACGGGUAGCUGGUCUGAGAGGACGACCAGUCACACUGGAACUGAGACACGGUCCAGACACCUACGGGUGGCAGCAGUCGAGAAUUUUUCUCAAUGGGGGAAACCCUGAAGGAGCGACGCCGCGUGGAGGAUGAAGGUCUUCGGGUUGUAAACUCCUGUCAUUU
rnacentral:rRNA from 1 species